AAAAAUAUAAGAUAAUACAUGCUAGUUCAUAGGCCAUUAUAUGAAUUAAAAACAACUGUCUCCUCUAGGAGGACAAAACAGAGAAGAAAAAUACCACUCCCACUGCGAUGAAAGGCUUGUCUACUCAAUACUGCCUCUUACUAAUACAAAGAAGAUGUUCCUCUAGAGCUCAGGAGGAAUCUGUGAGUCAGAUUUCAACCCACACUCAUCCUCCCAGCCUGCAGCCAUUGGCAAUGCCCAAACCAAGCAGCCUUGGACAUGGACACAAGACAGGGCCUUGUGUUAAAGAAGAAAAAGAUGCAGAGGGCAGGUCACCUAGAUCUUUUUCUCUCUGCAUUCUGCUGGAAUAGAAUUGGCUUCCUAGAUGCAGGAGGUCAAUAGGCUAAUGGGACAUAUUCUUGAAAAAGGACCACAAUGCUAUGUGUCAAACCACGAGAAUUGAGCCAGAAAGCACACAGCAACCCUGCCCAGGCAGGAAGACUCCUACCUCUGCAGAUUUUGGAGAAGCACAGGGGCAAGACCUGCUUUAUCCAAGAGGUCAAGCAGCCACUGAACUCAGCCAAGAGCCCACCCCCUGGCUCCACACAGACAGGGAGGCAAUCCUCAAUUGUGUAUUUUGAAGGAGCAUGGUCUCUGGUCCCACGUGGCUUGAGCAAUGACGCUGCGUAACUGCGGAGACCAGCCUGCAGCCUUGAUCCACUACAGAUCCUAAAUUGAAGAAUUACCUGGCCGGAAGAUGCAUCUUGUGACCACCUAAGCAGGAGUCAUUGGGGUACCCAGCCAGCCAACAUCAGAGCAAACCCAGGGGCUCAGCCAACUACUGAACUCACAACAAGUGCUGCGGACUGGUUGCUCACCAGCUGGCCCUUCCAGAACCACAGUUUGGACAGGGAGGAAUACUCUAUCACUGCCAAAGAACACCUGUAAAGGCCUGAGUUUACCUGUUUGUGACAUGGAAAGCUGCACAAGGACUUUGAGUAGGAGAAUGAAAAUGUAUUUGGAUUCUGGAAGUUAAAUCUAAUACCAAAGUGAGAAUAUUUUGCACACUUCUUGGGCUUUUUAAAAAUAUAUAUAUUUAUUUGAGGCCACAUAAUACAAAAGAGAAUGUACUUUAUUUCCAAAUGUUCUUUAAUCCAUUCUUUUUAUCUACAUAGUAAGGAAUUAGUAAAGAGGAAGACAAGAUGACAGCAUGGCGUGGUCCGUUUUGCCAUUAAAAACUUUAUUUUUAAUUUACUGUCAGACUCUAGAAAAAGUGUUUUGAGUGUUCAUAAGGAACAGUAAAUUUUCAUAGUUUUUAAAUAACUUGUGAAUUUCAUUUUUGGAAAUAGCAAUAGUCAUUAGAUUCUUAAUAGGCUUUAUUAAUAUGGUAAGUCACUAUGCCAUCUUAUAGACUAUUAUGUGGCUACCACCUUAUUUUGUUAUUAUUUUUAUAUUAUACUAAUAAUUUUUUGUUACUUUUCUUCCCAUUUCACAGAUGAAAAACUAAGUCCCAGGUAUUUCCCCAGUGAAACACAAUCAGGAAAGGAUACAUAUCAAGUAUUUCAAAUACCAAGUCCAUUUCUCUUUCCAUUAAGCUAAGUUGAAUCACUAAGCUAGGAGACACAUGGGAAGUUAUUGUCUGUGAUGUUAUAAUGAAGCUCUUUUCGUUCACCAAUAUCCAAAUCUAAGCUGAAACCAUGAAAUCAGAAGAUGUCAGUAAGAUUCUUUGUUUAAUGAAUCAAUUACAUUGAAUCAAGUGUUACAUAUCUGAUAUUUUCUCUGGCAUAAUUUCUCCACAUCCCCAGAGAAAUUCAUUUGUUUGGAGAUGUUUUUCUUUAUUACAACUACAGUCCAUGCAUAUUAUACCACAAAUCAGUCUUAUGAGUAUGUGUGCUGAUAUUCACCAUCGAGCACUAACUUAUCCUUCAAAACUCAUACCAUUUAUUAUCUCUUUGAGACUUUCCCGACCUAUCAAGUUAACAUUGAUGACUCCCUCUUUGUACUUCCAUUGUUCCCUUUAGAAAAGCCUAUGACAGCAACUCUAACGAAUGUUUGAAUGCAUUUGUUUUGAGAUUUGUUUCCCUCAUCUGACUCAAAGGUACUUGAAGAAGGUAAAUUUAUCUUUUUAUCUCUAUUUUCUCAAAUUUAGCACAGCAAUAUACACAGGAAAAGUACACAAGUAUUUUUUAAAUACUUUUUUUCUUCAAAGCCCAAAUACUUCUGAGGAAUUAAAUACAAAUUUCAAUCUAAUUAUCAUUUGUUUCCAAAUAGCAUCAUUUUGCUAGUCUUUUUAUUAUUAGACUGAAUUAAAAUCAGAUUCAAAAAUUAAACCACGUGUACUGAGUAU
rnacentral:lncRNA from 10 species